ensembl:lncRNA
AGUGAAAUCCAGAAUGAAAAAAGAACUCCCUGACAGUCAGUUGUUAAAAGUGACACAACAAAGCAGUUGUGUGAUAGUAACUGAGCAAGGGUAACUGAGGGGGGAAACAGAAAACAAUGCUCGCUCUUGAAGAGUUUACAGUCUAAGAUGGUGGUUCUCACAGCAUGAAGAUACCUGGGAACUUGUUAAAAGUGCAAAUUAUCAGGCCCCACUCCAGAUCUACUGAAUCAGAAACUCUAGGUUGGGGUCCAAAAUCUGUUUUAACAAGCUGUCCCCCACCAGGUGAUUUUGACGAAUAAAAUGUGAGAAUCACUGGUCGGAGGGAAGGAAACAACCAAUAUUAACAAAGUUAUGUAAAUAAGACGUGAUGUGGUGGAAAGAGGAGUGGUCUAAGAUCCUGGCUUCCUUGCACAGUAGCUGUGUGAGCCUAGGCAAGUUAUUUAGUCAUGCUGAGCUCCAAUUUCUUCAUCUGGGAGGUGCUAACUGCUUCACUUACUUCAUUAGAAAAAAAAAUGAGCAUCAAACGAGAUAAGGUAUGUGGCAACAUCUCACAAUCUGAAAGCUCCAACUAAAUGUAAAUUAGUAUUAGGAAAGCUAUAUGCUCAAUCUCAGGGAGCGGCUGGAUAGGAUAGAACCAUUCAUUCAUUGUACAAACAUUUAUAGAGCACUUACCACAUGCCAGGUUUUUUCCGUACCGGAUACAAAAAUAAAUGACUUCUGCCACCCAGUCGUCCACCAUUUGGAGUUGCUCAUUAAAGACCUGGAGUGGAGGAACAAGGCUACCAGAAUUUUGAAGAAGGGAGUAACCCACUUGAGUGAAGAGCAGGGAGGUGUAGGCUCCACACAACAGAAUCUAAUUCCCAAGGGCAGAGGCCUUGUCUGAGUCGUACCACGCCCCCGGGGCCCGGAGCAGCGUCUGGCACCUCGAAGUCACUCAAAUACGUGAGGCAGCGCGGGCGGCGGAAGCGCGGGCGGCGGAAGCGCGGGCGGCGGAAGCGCGGGCGGCGGAAGCGCGGGCGGCGGAAGCGCGGGCGGCGGAAGCGCGGGCGGCUCGCUGCCCUUCAGAGGAACAGCUUGAAAGUUGAGGAAACACAUGUAGUAGAAGUAAUAGUUCCGCUUGAGAGCAAUGAAAAGUGAAGCAGUACAUGUUGCUGAUUUAUCCUGAUGUGUGAAAAUUUUCACAGCUGUAUACAAGACACAUUCAUCUAACUGAAGAGGUUUUUCAGUCCCUAUAGGACUACAGUCAGAACAAAGGAAGAAGGAAACUCAGUUUUCCCUGCUCUGUUAGAACAAGACUGGGAACUCUCUACUCUUACUGGCUGGAGCUAGAAAGACCAGGUCAUUUAGAUGUCUGUGAGACCUCUCGCCAAAGCCAAGAAUAAAAGAUGGAAAAAAAAAUUUAUAGUGGUACAACACUCACAAUUUAUAAUUCUGAUUUUUGAAGUAUUAACUAAUAAGUAGUAUAUUGAAAUACACGUUAUGAUGCUAAGCUGAUUACUCUAUUAGACCAAUUUGGUAUACAAAAUAAUAUUAAGUCUCCUGAGAACUUUGGAAGAAAGAGUAGGUGAAACAAUGCAUUUUUACAGAAUUUGGUAAAUAAUCAUUUUUCUGUAGUGCCAUUUUAUAAAAUGUGUGACCUGCUGAGCUUUUUCAUAUCAAAUGUUCUAGUUAAUUAGCCACUUAACUUCUCAUAAAGUAUUAUCUAAACCUUCCAGAAAUGUAAUCGCUCUCACAUUCAUGCCAUAAUUCAAGGAUCAAUAAGAGCUAUUCGUGAUUUCUAUAAUCAAACAAAAAUAUAACACAAAUAAACUCUGAAUGUGCUCGUUUGGAAUAAUUUUUCAUGACCACUGCUUAGUUAUGUGUUUAUGACUUUCUAUACCCUUCAAGGAGGAGUCCUCUUAGGAGUGCUAGGCUUACCGUUGGUACUUCUGG